AAAGUUCUGCUACUAUGCGGACCUUUUUAUAUCUAUAUAUAUAUAUAUAUCUAUAUAUAUAUAUAUAUAUCUAUAUAUAUAUAAUAUAUAGAUAUAAAAAGGUCCGGAUAGUAGCAGAACUUU